rnacentral:rRNA from 1 species
CUUGGUCAUUUAGAGGAAGUAAAAGUCGUAACGAGGUUUCUCGUAGGUGAACCUGCGGAAAGGAUCCAUUACUCUAGAGUUGUAGGCUUUGCCUGCUAUCUCUUACCCCAUGUCUUUUAAGUACCUUCGUUUCCUCGGCGGGUUCGCCCGCCGAUUGGACAAUUUAAACCAUUUGCAGUUGCAAUCAGCGUCUGAAAAAACUUAAUAGUUACAACUUUCAACAACGGAUCUCUUGGUUCUGGCAUCGAUGAAGAACGCAGCGAAAUGCGAUAAGUAGUGUGAAUUGCAGAAUUCAGUGAAUCAUCGAAUCUUUGAACGCACAUUGCGCCCCUUGGUAUUCCAUGGGGCAUGCCUGUUCGAGCGUCAUUUGUACCUUCAAGCUCUGCUUGGUGUUGGGUGUUUGUCUCGCCUCUGCGUGUAGACUCGCCUCAAAACAAUUGGCAGCCGGCGUAUUGAUUUCGGAGCGCAGUACAUCUCGCGCUUUGCACUCAUAACGACGACGUCCAAAAGUACAUUUUUACACUCUUGACCUCGGAUCAGGUAGGGAUACCCGCUGAACUUAAGCAUAUCAAUAAGCGGAGGA